rnacentral:rRNA from 1 species
UACGUAGGGUGCGAGCGUUGUCCGGAAUUAUUGGGCGUAAAGGGCUCGUAGGCGGUUUGUCGCGUCGGGAGUGAAAACUCAGGGCUUAACCCUGAGCCUGCUUCCGAUACGGGCAGACUAGAGGUAUGCAGGGGAGAGCGGAAUUCCUGGUGUAGCGGUGAAAUGCGCAGAUAUCAGGAGGAACACCGGUGGCGAAGGCGGUUCUCUGGGCAUUACCUGACGCUGAGGAGCGAAAGUGUGGGGAGCGAACAGG